GCCGGUGUGGUGAAAUUGGUAGACACGACGGAUUCAAAAUCCGUUUCCUUCGGGAGUGGCGGUUCAAGUCCGCCCAUCGGUACCA
rnacentral:tRNA from 9 species